rnacentral:rRNA from 1 species
UACGUAGGUGGCAAGCGUUGUCCGGAUUUACUGGGCGUAAAGGGCUUGUAGGCGGUUUGUUAAGUCUGGUGUGAAAUCUCCCGGCUCAACCGGGAGGGGUCAUCGGAUACUGGCAGACUUGAGACGGGUAGAGGAAAGCAGAAUUCCCGGUGUAGCGGUGAAAUGCGUAGAUAUCGGGAAGAACACCAGUGGCGAAGGCGACUUACUGGACGAUUGUUGACGCUGAGGUGCGAAAGCGUGGGGAGCAAACAGG